rnacentral:rRNA from 1 species
UACGUAGGUGGCAAGCGUUGUCCGGAUUUACUGGGCGUAAAGGAUGCGUAGGUGGAUAUUUAAGUGGGAUGUGAAAUACCCGAGCUCAACUUGGGUGCUGCAUUCCAAACUGGAUAUCUAGAGUGCAGGAGAGGUAAGUGGAAUUCCUAGUGUAGCGGUGAAAUGCGUAGAGAUUAGGAAGAACACCAGUGGCGAAGGCGACUUACUGGACUGUAACUGACACUGAGGCAUGAAAGCGUGGGGAG